rnacentral:lncRNA from 1 species
AAAAAUUCCCUCUUCUUGAGUGAUUAGGGUUUGGAUUCUUGAAGGUUUUUUGUUGGAAAAAUUAUCAGAAAACUCAAGUAAAACAAUAGAUACAUACAUUCCUCCGUGGAGCACGAUUUAUUCUGUUUUAUGCGUCUUAUGCAAAGUGAUUGUAGAGGAGUAGUUCGAUUUUUUUUGGGGAUCUUGGUGAUCUCGGUUGGUUCCUUUGUGGAACGUGACUUGCUGUAUAAUAAAAAUUUGAAUCUACGUGAUUCGAGAGUGGACAGUUUGGAGGGCAAAAAUCUGUGUUGGUUGAACUUUGUGAUCAAGAUUGAUUCAUGUGUGGAAUAGUGUUUGCUAUUGUUGUUCUAGCAAAGAUAAGUCCUGUACUUGAUUCUUUGUUGUAAAUUGUUGGAACAUUAUUGUAAUUUGUUGCCUAUUUUUAGGGCUUUAUAGUGCAACCGAGCUUUAUCCAUUUUCCUGGAUGCUCAACAGGGAUUAUGCGUUAAAAGUGGUUGUCUAACCUUUGGGGUUUCGACCGAAAAAUCCUUGUGUUCAUUUUUAUUUUCUGCACUUUAUUUUCAGUUUUUUAUUGUGUUUUUGGAAUCUUGGUUAAUAUUCGUAUCCCCUGAUUUUUUAGUGAUAUCAGAGCAACCUGGACUACUGGAGCCUUAUGAUUUUUUGAUUAAUUCUGAUUCCUGAAACCUGCAGUAUACAUUGGCCGGUGGAAAUUGAGUUUUAUCAAACUCAUUGGUGAGAUCUUUCCUGCAUUCUGUAGUUAAUCCUUACAGUAGAGUCUCCUAAUUUUACCCUUGAUUUACCUUGCACUAACAAAACCUACAGUGGCUGGUCUUUGUCCAAAAGCUCAAGAAGUCUUGGGAAUCUGAAAUAACAACUCUAGUACGAGUGCAAUUGGAAGGUCUUGCUGGAAAAGUUAGUUGAGGCAUAUGAUUGCUAUCUCCAUUCUUUGUGAUUCUGCAUUCUAUACUUAGUGUUAAGUGUUUACUAUUUUGUGAAAACUUGAAAUAAGUGCAUUGGUCAUUGGCCCCUGAUCUCCUAGUCUGCAUACAGUAUUUUUUAUUGUGUGUCCUAGUAUGUUCUUGAAAUCAAACUUGUGUACUGUGAACUUUCUUGGUGAAUCUUGUCAUGACUACUACUAAGUUUGAAUUGAGCAUGUUUAAUGGGAGGGGAGACUUUAAUAUGUGGAGCCAGAAAAUGAGGGCUAUCUUAAUGCAAACGAAAUGUGAUAAAGCCUUAGAUAAUUCAUGGCCUGCUGAAAUGUUUGUUGCUAAAAGAAUCGAGUUAGAAGAAAUAGCCUGGAGUACUAUUUUCUUGUAACUUUCGAACAAUGUGAUCAGGUGUAUAGGUGAAACUAAAACUGCUGAACAACUGUGGGCCAAAUUGAAAGCUCAAUAUGAGCCAAAAAUUGUUCCAAACAAAUGUUUUUUGCUAAAACAAUUCUUUUCUUUUAAAAUGGACCCUUCGGUUGACUUGGAUGAAAACUUGGAUAGAUUUAUAAAAUUGACCUAGGACUUGCCAACUGUGAUGAGAAAUUAUCAGAAGAUCAGUUGGCUGUGGUCUUGUUAAACUCCAUUAGUGAUAGGCGUAGAGAACUAAAGAAUGCCUUGGAAUAUGGAAGAGAUGAGCUUACCAUAGAUAUCAUUAUAAAUGUCUUAAGAAAUAGGGUUCUUGAAUUAAAAUCAAAUUCUAUCAACCAACAAAGUGGAGAAAAUCUUUUGAUAAAAAGCAAAAAUGUUGGUAAAUCUAUUUUUCAUUCAAAAUUUCAAAAUGACCAUAAGAAAAGAAACAAUGACAAAAUGAAAUAGAAAACUAAGGCAAAGGUAAAGAAAUGUUAUUACUGUGGUAAGUUGGGUCAUUUUGCAAAAGAUUGCUACAAGAAGUAAAAUGAUUUGAAAGGAAAUAAAUUAAAUGAGGGUAAUGCUAUUUUGUCCUAUGAUAAGCAAAAAUUUGAUAACGGCUUGGUUCUUGUAAAUGUUGAAAGGAACCUAAAUCAAGAAUGGAUUCUUGAUUCAGGUUGUUCUUUCCACAUGUGACCUAAUAAAAACUAUUUUUUGGACUUUGAACAAACUAAAGGGGGCCAAGUUAUCAUGGGAAACCACAUGACCUGCAAAGUGAAAGGUAUUGGAACCAUAAAAUUGCUCUUAGAAAAUGACAGAAUUUUAUUGUUAAAGGGGGUCAGAUUUUUUUUGAAUUAGAAAGAAACUUUGUGUCUCUAGGAAUGUUGAAUGAUAUGGAGUUUGACAUAAAAUUGGGUCAAGGACACAUAAAAAUCUUUAGAGGUAGUGAUUUGAUCACUUCUAUCCCAAAGAAACAUGGUUUAUACUUUUUAAAUGGAAAACCUUUGUUGGGCCUUUCAGUAGCAGUUUUAGAUGAUAAUUUUAAUCUUGCAAAUUUGUGGCAUUGCAAACUUGGUCAAAUUAGUGAAAAAGGUUUAAAGGCUUUACAAAAUAAAGGUGUAUUUGGAAAAUAAAAUAUUGGUGAUUUGUCUAAAUGUGAACAAUGUUUCAUUGGAAAGCAAGUGAAGUUACCUUUUCCCACUAGUACUCAUAAAUCAAAGCAAAUUCUAGAAUAUUUACAUGCUGAUCUGUGGGACCCUGCAUCCACCUCUACAUUGUCUGGUUACAAGUAUUACUUGCUUAUUAUUGAUGAUUUUUCAAGAAAAAUUUGGGUAUUUCUUUUGAAAGCUAAAAAUGAAACAUUUGCUACAUUUAAAGAUUGGAAAACCCAAAUUGAAAAUCAAGCUGAUUUGAAAAUCAAAACCUUGAGAAUCGACAAUGGUCUAUAAUUUUGCAAUUAUGAGUUUAAUGAGUUUUGCAAGUUGCAUGACAUUUUAAGACAUAGAACUGUGACCUAUACGCCCUAGCAAAAUGCCAUUGCAAAAAGAAUGAAUAGGACUUUGUUGAAUAAAGUUAGAUGCAUGCUUUUAAGUUCUGGCUUGCCCAAAUUAUUUUGGGGUGAAACUGUUAAAACUACUCCAUAUUUGAUUAAUAAAAGUCCUAGUGUGGACACAAAAGCCUGUGAAAUAUUCUUACUUGAAAACAUUUGGUUGUGCUGUAUAUGCUCAUCAAAACAUAGGGAAGCUUGAACCUAGAUCCUUAAAUGUGUGUUUUUGGGUUAUGCUGAAAGUGUUAAAGGAUAUCGGCUGUGGGUUCAUGGGAAAAAGGUUACAUGGUUAUUAUAAGAAGGGAUGUGGUCUUUAAUGAGUCAUGUAUGCCAUGUUUGGAAGGGAAAGAGAGAAAUUUGACUGAAAAUGAUGUCCAAAUUGAGGUGGAGCCUAUUAAAAUUUAUAAUACCAGUUCUGUUCCCAUAGAAACAGCAACUAUUGAGGCUGACCAGAAUGAAAACGAGCCUAAUUUGGUUGAACCCGAGCAGUAUAAUGAUGAUAUUACACCUCUAGAUGAAUACCAACUCACUAGAGUCAGGGGAUAGGAGACAAAUUAGACCACCUGCUAGGUUUAAUAGUGAUGACUUUGUGUCUUUGUUCACUUAUCAAUAUGAAUCUGAAGCUGAACCUAGUUCCUAUCAUGAAGUCUUAAAAUUGAAAGAUUCUAAGCGGUGGUUAAUUGCUAUGGAAGAAGAGAUAUCUUCCCUAUACAAAAAUAAAACUUGGGAAUUGGUGGAUAGACCUAAGGAUAAGAAACUAGUUGAUUGCAAAUGGAUUUAUAAGAUAAAGGAAGGGGAAGGUGGAACUAACAAUUUUAGAUACAAGGCUAGGCUUGUUGCCAAGGGUUUCACACAAAAGGAGGGUGUGGACUAUGAUGAGAUUUUUUCCCCAGUUGUUAAAUAUACAACUAUAAAAUGUAUUCUUGCUUUAGUUGUGUAAUUUAAGUGGAAAAUUUAUCAACUAGAUAUAAAAAAUGCAUUUUUAUUUGGUGAAUUGGAUGAAGUGAUUUACAUGAAACAACCUUUAAGAUUUAUUAAAGGAAAUCCGGAAAAACAGUGUGUUUGUUGAAAAAAUCUUUGUAUGGCCUAAAACAAGCUCCAAGACAAUGAUGCAAAAGAUCCGAUUCAUUCGUCUUGAAGCUUGGAUUUAAUAGAAGCAAUUAUGAUACAUGUCUUUAUUGCAAAGGAAAUGGAGGUAAAGAUUCUUUGUAUCUUGUGCUUUAUGUUGAUGAUAUGCUUCUUGCUGGUGCCAAUAAAUCUAAAAUUGAUGAUAUCAAACACAAAUUAAAAUCAGAAUUUGAUAUGCAGAAUCUUGGUUCUGCUAAGAAAAUACUUGGCAUGCAUAUUAUAAGAGAUGAAAAAUCUGAUUGCUUGUUUUUAUAUUCAGAAAAGUAUGUGAAUAAGAUCCUCAAGAAGUUUAAUAUGUUUGAUUGUAAACCUUUGACUUUACCCCUUGCCAAUCACUUUAUUUUAACAUCUGAUUCGUGUCCAAAAACAGAAGAUGAACUUGAAAGAAUGUCUAAAAUACCUUAUGCUAAUGCUAUUGGUUCAGUCAUGUACUUAAUGAUUUGUACCAGACCUGAUUUGGCUUUUAAUAUUAGUGUUUUGAGUAGAUUUAUGGGGAAUCCUGGUGAAACUCAUUAGGAAGCUUUGAAGUCGUUGUUGAGAUAUGUAAAGGGUUCAUCUAACUUAGGUUUGAUGUUUAAAAUGGACAAAGAGGGGGUAAUUUUAAAGGGUUAUGCAGAUUCUAAUUUUGCUGGAAAUAGAGACAAUAGAAAAUCAGCUUCAUCUUAUUUUUACACUUUGUAUGGUACCGUGAUAAGUUGGAAAUCUCAGUUACAAAAAAUUGUUGAUCUUCCACGGAGGCUGAAUAUAUUGCUGCCACUGAUACCAUUAAAGAAGGCAUAUGGCUGCAGGUUUGUUGAAUGAACUUGGUUUUGUAGACACUAAUUCAAUAUUAUAUUCUGACAACCAAAGUGCAAUCCAUUUGAGUAAGAAUCCCAUAUUUCAUGAUAGAACAAAACAUGUUGAUGUAAAAUACCAUUUUAGAGGGGAUAUUAUUUCAAAAGGGUUGCUAAAAAUUAUUAAAAUACCUACUUUGUAUAAUCCAUCUGAUAUGGGAACUAAGGUGAUACCUGUAAAUAAGUUUCAAAACUGUUUAAAGAUGUUAUCUAUUGAUUCUUUUCAUUGAUUGUACAGGUACAAGGAGAAAAUGAAGUUAUAAAUGAUGGUGAAGCUCUUGAAUGCACUAUAGGUUCAAAUUUUGGAAGCAAGGUGGAGAAUGUUGAGAAAAAUAAAAGUGUUCCAAAAUUUUAAAAGAAAAAAAAACGUGUUUUUCUUUUGACCAUUGGAUAUUUUACCUAGCCAUGUGAUAUUUUGAAAGAUACACAUUAAAUGAGGCAAAGACUUUUUCUUCCAGCAAUUACUCUCUCUAUCUUUCUCACGUCUCACUUGGAAGAAAAGAAAAAGUCUCUCUCUCUCUCUUCUCUCACUUCUUUGUUACGAAAAAAAUUCCCUCUUCUUGAGUGAUUAGGGUUUGGAUUCUUGAAGGUCUUUUGUUGGAAAAAUUACCAGAAAACUCAAGUAAUACAAUAGAUACAUACAUUCCUCCGUGGAGCACGAUUUAUUCUAUUUUAUGUGUCUUAUGCAAAGUGAUUUUAGAGGAGCAGUUCGAUUUUUUUGGGGAUCUUGGUGAUCUCGGUUGGUUCCUUUGUGGAACGUGAUUUGCUGUAUAAUAAACAUUUGAAUCUAAGUGAUUCGAGAGUGGGCAGUUCGGAGAGCAAAAAUCUGUGUUGGUUGAUCUUUGUGAUCAAGAUUGAUUCUUGUGUGGAAUAGUGUUUGCUAUUGCUGUUCUAGAAAAGAUAAGUCCUAUACUUGAUUCUUUGUUGUAAAUUGCUGGAACAUUAUUGUAAUUUGCUGCCUAUUUU